rnacentral:rRNA from 1 species
GAACAGCGUCAAAGCUUAAUUAUUAUAUGCCUAAUUUCAUAAACACUAUUUAAUCCUUUAUCAAUACUGAGUAAUUCUAUAUUUUUAUAGAAAAUUUUAUGUUAAAACUAGUAACAAGAAAAGACUUUCUCUUUAAUGUAAGUAUAAGUCAGAAAGGACAAACCACUGAUAUUUAACAUCCUUGAGCCAAAAGUAGAAACUCACCAAGAAAACCCUACUUUCACUUAUGUUAACCUAACACAAGAACAUUACAAGAAAGAUUUAAAGAAAAAGAAGGAACUCGGCAAAUGUUAACCUCGCCUGUUUACCAAAAACAUCGCCUCUUGAAUCUUAUAGGAGGUCCAGCCUGCCCAGUGACUUUAUUCAACGGCCGCGGUAUCCUAACCGUGCGAAGGUAGCGUAAUCACUUGUUCUUUAAAUAAGGACUAGUAUGAACGGCACCACGAAGGUUAUACUGUCUCCUUUCUCUAAUCAGUGAAACUAAUCUCCCCGUGAAGAAGCGAGGAUGUUAAUAUAAGACGAGAAGACCCUAUGGAGCUUAAAACGUCUCAACACUUGCUUAAAUAAUUUUAAAUUUCAGAACAUUUCAACUUUCUCGAGCAAUAUGAUUGUAAGUUUUUGGUUGGGGUGACCGCGGAGAACAACACAACCUCCACGUUGAAAGAAUUUCUUCUAAGCUAAGAAUCACUAAUCUAAGCAUCAACACACUGACAUUCCUUGACCCAAUAUAUUUGAUCAACGAACCAAGUUACCCUAGGGAUAACAGCGCAAUCUACUUUGAGAGCUCCUAUCGACAAGUAGGUUUACGACCUCGAUGUUGGAUCAGGUAUCCUAGUGGUGUAGCCGCUACU